CAACUGUCUGUCAAUGUCAUCCAUCAAGAGUAGAUCAAGAAUGCACUCUGACAGAUUCCUGUGGCUUAAAAGUAACGUACCUUAAAUUUCUUAACAGUGAAACAAACUCUUGCUAUAAAGUGAAACACUUAAGGCCAAUAUGGAAUGUAAGGAAUACCAGUGAUGAGACUUUUAAAGCUUCGGCUUUGCGUUGCUAUGCUGCAAGGAUGAGUUAAGAACUGAGUGUAUUGUGCGAGGUACUUGGAGCAUCUACUCAGUAAAUGGCAGAGAAAGUGUUAACUCUUCUCUGUGGUGGGAAGGAGCCCAGCUGCACCCACUCAUGGCUGAGAUUGGCAGCCCAGCAGCCCUGGUGAUGUGUGAUGGCUUCUGUGUUAUAAGAAGAAACUCUCCAGCUAGAAAGGAAAUGACUUCUUGGAGAGGAAGAGGGACUCUUCUGCCCUUGGAGCUAUUGAACAUGCUGCCGGGAGAGCAGCUUCAGAGCGCUGGGGCAGCGGGCAGGGGAGCUCAGCCGGGAGAGAGCCUGCAGCGCCGGGCAGGCUGCUGAGAAGAGUCGGCGAUGGUCACCUGGCCAAAAGGAUGAGGAGACAGAGAAACUCUCACUGCUGCUGAGAGGGGACCAUGCAGUCUGCCAAAACCCGAAAAGUCACUGUGUUGGAUUUCAACCAGGCCCAAAAGGAUUCAUCCUACGAGAACAGGGUAAGAUGUCGUUUUACAAGUGCUCUUAUUUUUAUUGUUUGUUUCCUAUUUUAAAAGUUU
rnacentral:lncRNA from 1 species